UUCCAGAUGGCUCAGUGCUAAAGAAUCUGCCUGCCAAGUAGGAGACCCAGGUUCUAAGCCCUGGGUUGGAAA
rnacentral:tRNA from 1 species